AGUGAACGUUGGCGGCGUGGAUUAGGCAUGCAAGUCGAGCGAGAACCGUAGCAAUACGGGGACAGCGGCGAAAGGGACAGUAAUGUGUAGGUACCUACCCCGAGGUCUGGGAUAGCUGCGGGAAACUGCAGGUAAUACCGGAUAAUGUCUUCGGACCAAAGGUGUGAUUCCACCUUGGGAGGGGCCUGCAUCCUAUUAGCUUGUUGGCGGGGUAAUGGCCCACCAAGGCAACGAUGGGUAGCGGGUGUGAGAGCACGACCCGCGUCAUUGGGACUGAGAUACUGCCCAGACACCUACGGGUGGCUGCAGUCGAGGAUCUUCGGCAAUGGGCGCAAGCCUGACCGAGCGACGCCGCGUGCGGGAUGAAGGCCUUCGGGUUGUAAACCGCUGUCGUAGAGGAGGAAAUGCAGGGGGGUUCUCCCCUCUGUUUGACCUAUUCUAGGAGGAAGGACGGGCUAAGUUCGUGCCAGCCGCCGCGGUAA
rnacentral:rRNA from 1 species